UCUGCAUGGUUUUGAAAAGUUCAAAAACUCCGAGAGGAAAGAAAAGAAAGAGAGUGGGCGCAGGAUUUUCUGAGAGUACCCUAGGGUUUCUGCCUAGGGUUCGGGAAGUGAGAAAGUGUGCUACGAGUGUUGUGAGCCCAUAAGAUUUUAGGAAGAGCUUCAUCAACCUCUCAAGUAUAUCUGCUGAUGAUCUGGAACAUCCGAGGAGUCAGCAGAUCAAGAUCGAAGGAGUUCAAUCAACAUCGGC
rnacentral:lncRNA from 1 species